AUCGGUUUAACCAACAUUAAACCCUCCUAUAAAAUGCUAACAUGUAUAAAAGGAAACCCUGAAAUUAAGCCCCUACUCAGUCCUGAUCACACACCCCUUUUCUCGUUCUAUCUCGAUCUUCUAGUUCCACCACUAGAUCACUCACACGAACAAUCUCUCUCCAUUGUCUACCACCACAGACACAGAAGCUACAAACUAUCUAGAGAUAAAUCAAACUUAUCUCUCUCUGUUAUUGUUUUACUGCUUUAGAUUUGUUUUUAAGCCAUGAUUUUUCUUCUCAAUUAGUUUCUUACUCUUAAGCCAUGUUCUGACUUUUCUGAGUUGGUUUUGCUAUUAACACUGUUAUUUUAUUUCAUUAAGUGUUUGCUGUUGAUUUAAUUUAUGGGUUGGUUUUGUUGUCAACAUUGGCCUUUCAGCUAGGGUGUAGACUUUGCAAGAUCCUCUUCUGGAUCCGAGGAACUUGAGACAACAGUAAUGGAGAUGGUCCGCCAAGAUAAUCGAUGACAGUUAUGUGCAAAGCUAUAAUAUUCAAGAUUGAUUCAAACAACCUUUAUUGCUUUUGAAUACAUGACAAAAUAGAUUAAUGUUCUGGUUUACAUGAACAGCAUUUAAAUGAGGUUUUGUUGCAGGGAAAGAUCUGAUGUCUAUCAAGAAAUCUUUCAACAACGUUGUUAAUGUGCUUCUUCACUGGGACGAUAUGUACAAUGAAGAUUUAUGUUCUUGGUGUGGUUUGUUUGUGACAAUAUCAGCUUCUUUGUUGUUUAGGUUUUAAGCCAUGUGAAGGCAACAACUUUUUUUAUUUAUUUGUUAAUUUGUCAUGCUUUGCAAAUUUGGAUUUUUAUUAAUUUGUUGGUGUGUGUUGUGAAA